rnacentral:rRNA from 1 species
UACGUAGGGUGCAAGCGUUGUCCGGAAUUAUUGGGCGUAAAGAGCUCGUAGGCGGCUUGUCGCGUCAGCUGUGAAAACCUGGGGCUCAACCCCGGGCCUGCAGCCGAUACGGGCAAGCUAGAAUUCGGUAGGGGAGACUGGAAUUCCUGGUGUAGCGGUGAAAUGCGCAGAUAUCAGGAGGAACACCGGUGGCGAAGGCGGGUCUCUGGGCCGAUAUUGACGCUGAGGAGCGAAAGCGUGGGGAGCGAACAGG